rnacentral:rRNA from 1 species
UCGAACGAAGUAGCAAUACUUAGUGGCAAACGGGUGAGUAUAAUGUGGGAAUCUGCCAUUUGGCCUGGAACAACACGAGGAAACUUGUGCUAAUACCGGAUAAGCCUUUACAGGGAAAGCUUUAUGCACCGAAUGAUGAGCCCGCACUUGAUUAGCUAGUUGGUAAGGUAAAAGCUUACCAAGGCUUCGAUCAAUAGCUGAUCUGAGAGGAUGAUCAGCCACAUUGGGACUGAGACACGGCCCAAACUCCUACGGGAGGCAGCAGUGGGGAAUCUUGCACAAUGGGGGAAACCCUGAUGCAGCGAUGCCGCGUGAGUGAAGAAGGCCUUUGGGUUGUAAAGCUCUUUCGUCAGGGAAGAAAAUGACUGUACCUGAAUAAGAAGGUCCGGCUAACUUCGUGCCAGCAGCCGCGGUAAUACGAAGGGACCUAGCGUAGUUCGGAAUUACUGGGCUUAAAGAGUACGUAGGUGGUUAAAAAAGUUGGUGGUGAAAUCCCAAGGCUUAACCUUGGAACUGCCAUCAAAACUUUUUGACUAGAGUAUGAUAGAGGUAAGUGGAAUUUCUAGUGUAGAGGUGAAAUUCGUAGAUAUUAGAAAGAACACCAAUUGCGAAGGCAGCUUUCUGGAUCAUUACUGACACUGAGGAGCGAAAGCAUGGGUAGC